rnacentral:rRNA from 1 species
UAGGGAAUCUUCCACAAUGGACGCAAGUCUGAUGGAGCAACGCCGCGUGAGUGAAGAAGGUUUUCGGAUCGUAAAGCUCUGUUGUUGGUGAAGAAGGAUAGAGGCAGUAACUGGUCUUUAUUUGACGGUAAUCAACCAGAAAGUCACGGCUAACUACGUGCCAGCAGCCGCGGUAAUACGUAGGUGGCAAGCGUUGUCCGGAUUUAUUGGGCGUAAAGCGAGCGCAGGCGGAAUGAUAAGUCUGAUGUGAAAGCCCACGGCUCAACCGUGGAACUGCAUCGGAAACUGUCAUUCUUGAGUGCAGAAGAGGAGAUUGGAAUUCCAUGUGUAGCGGUGGAAUGCGUAGAUAUAUGGAAGAACACCAGUGGCGAAGGCGGCUCUCUGGUCUGCAACUGACGCUGAGGCUCGAAAGCAUGGGUAGCGAACAGG